UACGUAGGGGGCAAGCGUUGUCCGGAUUUAUUGGGCGUAAAGAGCGUGUAGGCGGCUUCACAGGUCCGCUGUGAAAACUCGAGGCUCAACCUCGAGAUGUCGGUGGAAACCGUGUGGCUAGAGUCCGGAAGAGGAGAGUGGAAUUCCCGGUGUAGCGGUGAAAUGCGUAGAGAUGCGGAGGAACACCGAUGGCGAAGGCAGCCCCCUGGGCUAACACUGACGCUCAGGCACGAAAGCGUGGGGAGCAAACAGG
rnacentral:rRNA from 1 species